UUAUCGGAGAGUUUGAUCCUGGCUCAGGACGAACGCUGGCGGCGUGCCUAAUACAUGCAAGUCGAGCGAAUCAUUAGGAGCUUGCUCCUGAUG
rnacentral:rRNA from 1 species